UACAGAGGGGGCAAGCGUUGUUCGGAUUCAUUGGGCGUAAAGGGUGCGUAGGUGGUGAUGCAAGUCUGGUGUGAAAUCUCGGAGCUCAACUCCGAAAUUGCACCGGAUACUGCGUGACUCGAGGACUGUAGAGGAGAUCGGAAUUCACGGUGUAGCAGUGAAAUGCGUAGAUAUCGUGAGGAAGACCAGUUGCGAAGGCGGAUCUCUGGGCAGUUCCUGACACUGAGGCACGAAGGCCAGGGGAGCAAACGGG
rnacentral:rRNA from 1 species